rnacentral:misc_RNA from 1 species
CGCACAUUGCGCCCCUUGGUAUUCCGGGGGGCAUACCCGUUCGAGCGUCAUUACACCACUCAAGCUUGGCUUGGUAUUGGGCGGCGAGGCCUCCUCGCGCCCCAAUUUCUCCGGCGGGAUCACCCGAAUUGCAAGCGUUGUAAUACAAAUUCGCACCGCGAUGAAGGGUUUUCGGUCCGCGCCGUUAAACAUUGAACAAGGUUGACCUCGGAUCGGGUAGGGAUACCCGCUGAACUUAA